AACUUCAUUCGCUCCAACAUGUCUGAUAGAAACAACACCUACGUUUCUGAAGAGAUAAACCCCUUCGAGGUCUUGCAGUGCAUAACGAUCCAGCGACUAUACUACCCGCGUAACCACCCCUCGGUGAAAGCUUUGAAAGACUUACUCCUCGAAACAACGGAGUUUCACUUGAGGAGCCUGAACGAGUUCGUGGUCGAUCCGAUAGGACCCUUGUCCGACGUAGAAGAAGACGAGCUCCAGUAGAAACCCUCUACACCAUGCUCGGAACCUGCCCCUGCACCUCCGAUCCCCUCAUAACCUCCCUCACCAUCGAGAACCUCACCCUCCUGAACGCCUCCUCGUCAAAUCUGUCUUCUUAAAAAAGGGAAGCGAGAAAGAGCCCGAAAGAAAAAGGCGAUAAAGCGGUGUGAGACACGGAAGACGUAGCGGUACUCGAAAAAACGGAGCUCGCGGGGUUUUUCAACCCCCAAAAAGCAGGAACUCUUCCCACCCAAAAAAAGCGUGAUUUUUCAAACCAAACGCUCACGAGUUUUUCCAAUAAUAAACCUCUUAUAAAAAACUUCACUCUUCUCUCUCUCUUUUUGUUUGGUCUUCGUGCCUGUCCGCUCCCGUAAA
rnacentral:sRNA from 1 species